rnacentral:tRNA from 1 species
GCCGGGGUGGCGGAGUGGACAAUCGCACCUGACUGUAAAUCAGGCGGCCUCAGGCCUUCGGGGGUUCGAAUCCCUCCCCCGGCA